GCCGCCGUAGCUCAGUUGGAAGAGCAAUCGCCUUGUAAGCGAUAGGUCGUGGGAUCGUGACCCACCGGCGGCU
rnacentral:tRNA from 1 species